UACGUAGGGGGCAAGCGUUGUCCGGAAUUAUUGGGCGUAAAGAGCGUGUAGGCGGUCCGGUAAGUCGGCUGUGAAAGUCCAGGGCUCAACCCUGGGAUGCCGGUCGAUACUGCCGGACUAGAGUUCGGAAGAGGCGAGUGGAAUUCCCGGUGUAGCGGUGAAAUGCGCAGAUAUCGGGAGGAACACCUAUGGCGAAGGCAGCUCGCUGGGACGUUACUGACGCUGAGAACGCGAAAGCGUGGGGGAGCAAACAGG
rnacentral:rRNA from 1 species